rnacentral:rRNA from 1 species
UACGUAGGAUGCGAGCGUUAUCCGGAUUUAUUGGGUUUAAAGGGUGCGUAGGCGGACGCUUAAGUCAGCGGUAAAAUUGCGGGGCUCAACCCCGUCGAGCCGUUGAAACUGGGUGUCUUGAGUGGGCGAGAAGUACGCGGAAUGCGUGGUGUAGCGGUGAAAUGCAUAGAUAUCACGCAGAACUCCGAUUGCGAAGGCAGCGUACCGGCGCCCAACUGACGCUGAAGCACGAAGGCGUGGGUAUCGAACAGG